rnacentral:rRNA from 1 species
UCCAGACUCCUACGGGAGGCAGCAGUGGGGAAUAUUGCACAAUGGGGGGAACCCUGAUGCAGCGACGCCGCGUGGGCGAGGAAGUCUUUCGGUAUGUAAAGCCCUAUCGGCAGGGAAGAAGAAAUGACGGUACCUGAAUAAGAAGCACCGGCUAAAUACGUGCCAGCAGCCGCGGGAAUACGUAUGGUGCAAGCGUUAUCCGGAUUUACUGGGCGUAAAGGGAGCGCAGGCGGCGCGCCAAGUCUGAUGUGAAACCCCGGGGCUCAACCCCGGGCAUGCAUUGGAAACUGGCGGGCUGGAGUGCCGGAGAGGUAAGCGGAAUUCCUAGUGUAGCGGUGAAAUGCGUAGAUAUUAGGAGGAACACCAGUGGCGAAGGCGGCUUACUGGACGGCAACUGACGCUGAGGCUCGAAAGCGUGGGGAGCAAACAGGAUUAGAUACCCCGGUA